GAUGAACGCUAGCGGCGUGCCUAAUACAUGCAAGUCGAGCGAACAGACGAGGAGCUUGCUCCUCUGUCGUUAGCCGCGGACGUGUGAGUAACACGUGGAUACCCUACCUAUAAGACUGGGAUAACUUCGGGACACCGGCGCAAAUCCCGGAUAAUAUAUUGAACCGCAUGGUUCAUUAGUGAAAGUCGGCUUUUCUGUCUCUUAUCGCUGGUUCCCGGCCGCUUGAGCUAGUUGGUAGGUUAACGGCUUACGACGGCGACGAGGCGUAGCCGACGUGAGAGGGGGAUCGGCGACAUGGGAACUGAGACGCGGUCCAGGCUCCUACGGGAGGCAGCAGUAGGGAAUCUUCCGCAAUGGGCGAAAGCCUGACGGAGCAACGCCGCGUGAGAGAUGAAGGUCUUCGGAUCGUAAAGCUCUGUUAUUAGGGAAGAACAAAUGUGGAAGUAACUAUGCACGUCUUGACGGUAACUAAUCAGAAAGCCACGGCUAACUACGUG
rnacentral:rRNA from 1 species